rnacentral:tRNA from 1 species
GUGCGUGUAGAUUAUGUUUAUGAAAUCGUAAGGCUGUUAACUUUAAGAAGGUGUUUUGUGCCCGCGGACG